AGCUUUGCGCAGUGGCAGUAUCGUAGCCUAUGAGGUUUAUCCGAGGCGCGAUUAUUGCUAGUUGAAAACUUUACCCAAUACCCCGCCUAGACGACUUGAAAUAUAGUCGGCGACGGCAAUUUUUGACGGUCUCUAAGGAGA
ensembl:snRNA U4 U4 spliceosomal RNA